GAAGUCCCACGUCAGUUGCCAGCCUUGUGGUCUACACACACUCUGCGUUUGCGAAGGCACAACCUUCCCCUCCGCCUCUUCUCUCUUCACCCCCCUGCGUUCUCCCUCACUUCCUCGCUGCCUCCGACGGGUGAGGAACCCUCUCUCUCGCACAAUAACUUUUAUGAGUCAGCCGAGGAUUAGACUUUCAAACCCUUUUAUCAUGUUAUCAUGUUAAUUACUCGUACACGCGCAUUGGAAAGCAAUGGCAUAAGCUUGGAGCCCUUCAUGCACACAACGCUCGUCUUUUGCUUUCCUUUGCUCACUCAGUACAGUUUGGUUUUCGUACUGGGUCUGUGCUCAUUCACUUUUUGUUUAACAUAAGGAAUUUGUUGCGACGUUUCGAGCCCCUUGGGAAAGGAGAAAGAAGACUAGAAUGAGAAAGAGUAUACCUGUGCGAUGGCGGCAACAAUCAAGCGGUUCUCUCGUGCUCUGAAAAGAAAGAAAACUCAAGCAUCCGGGGAGAUAUCAAUUGUACAUCAGCAGUAAUGUUUAGAAGAAACAACAUUGCUUCAAGGAUUUUUCAGCGCCAAAUCUACACUCCUGCUCCCGGAACUAGUGUUUAUUGCGCUAGGCGAUUUUAUGAAAAUUUAGUCCCAAGUUGUACCAUUUAUGAUGUUGAAUGCCCAGACCAAUCAUUCCGCAAAUUUACCGAUGAUGGGCAAUACCUAAUAAGUUUCAGCAGAAAUCAACAAGAUCUGGUUGUUUACAGACCAACAUGGCUUUCAUUUUCAUGCAAAGAAGAAGAUUGUGAUGCUCAUGAUCUCCCUCCAAAAGCAAAGAGAUUUGAAAGUUUCUUCACUCAUUUAUAUAGUGUAUCGCUGCUUCCUGCAAUGAGCUCAUAUGCAAAGACUUCUUCCUUUACAUGGAGAGUAACCAAUAUGGAAUAUUUGCUACUUCUACGCCACCAAUUCAUGAUGCAGCUGCUGAUGGUGGUGCCACUCAGGGUGUCCCGUAUAUAGAAAAGUUGACAUUCCAUUUAAUAAGGUUGGAAGAUGGAGUCAUACUGGACGUGAAGGUCUUUCACAAUGAUUUUGUUAAUCUAACCCAUAACAUGGGCGUCUUCUUGUAUGAUGAUUUAUUGGCAAUUGCGUCACUUCGCAAUCAAACAAUACAUAUUAUCCAAAUUAGAGACUCUGGGAACCUUGUAGAUGUACGAGCUAUUGGGGCAUUUUGUCGUGAAGAUGAUGAACUUUUUCUUAAUUCAAAUGCUCAGGCAAGUGG